rnacentral:rRNA from 1 species
GCAACUCGACUGCAUGAAGCUGGAAUCGCUAGUAAUCGCGGAUCAGAAUGCCGCGGUGAAUACGUUCCCGGGUCUUGUACACACCGCCCGUCACACCAUGGGAGUAGGUAAUGCCCGAAGUCGGUGACCCAACCUUUGGAGGGAGCUGCCGAAGGCAGGUCUGAUAACUGGGGUGAAGUCGUAACAAGGUAAC